rnacentral:rRNA from 1 species
GAUGAACGCUAGCGAUAGGCUUAACACAUGCAAGUCGAGGGGCAGCAUGAUCUUAGCUUGCUAAGGUUGAUGGCGACCGGCGCACGGGUGCGUAACGCGUAUGCAACUUGCCUUACAGAGGGGGAUAACCCGUUGAAAGACGGACUAAAACCGCAUACACUUGUAUUAUUGCAUGAUAUUACAAGGAAAUAUUUAUAGCUGUAAGAUAGGCAUGCGUCCCAUUAGCUGGUUGGUGAGGUAACGGCUCACCAAGGCAACGAUGGGUAGGGGAACUGAGAGGUUUAUCCCCCACACUGGUACUGAGACACGGACCAGACUCCUACGGGAGGCAGCAGUGAGGAAUAUUGGUCAAUGGGCGAGAGCCUGAACCAGCCAAGUCGCGUGAAGGAAGACAGUCCUAAGGAUUGUAAACUUCUUUUAUACGGGAAUAACGGGCGAUACGAGUAUUGCAUUGAAUGUACCGUAAGAAUAAGCAUCGGCUAACUCCGUGCCAGCAGCCGCGGUAAUACGGAGGAUGCGAGCGUUAUCCGGAUUUAUUGGGUUUAAAGGGUGCGUAGGUUGUUCGGUAAGUCAGCGGUGAAACCUGAGCGCUCAACGUUCAGCCUGCCGUUGAAACUGCCGGGCUUGAGUUCAGUGGCGGCAGGCGGAAUUCGUGGUGUAGCGGUGAAAUGCAUAGAUAUCACGAGGAACUCCGAUUGCGAAGGCAGCUUGCCAUACUGCGACUGACACCGAAGCACGAAGGCGUGGGUAUCAAACAGG